rnacentral:rRNA from 1 species
GGGCCCGCACAAGCGGUGGAGCAUGUGGUUCAAUUCGACGCAACGCGAAGAACCUUACCUGGGCUAGACAACGGUGGACCGUCCUAGAAAUAGGAUUUUCCCUUCGGGGACUGCCGGUUCAGGUGCUGCAUGGCUGUCGUCAGCUCGUGCCGUGAGGUGUUGGGUUAAGUCCCGCAACGAGCGCAACCCUCGUCCUUAGUUGCCACCAUUCAGUUGGGCACUCUAGGGAGACUGCCGGCGUUAAGCCGGAGGAAGGUGGGGACGACGUCAAGUCAUCAUGGCCCUUAUGUCCAGGGCCACACACGUGCUACAAUGGGCGGUACAAAGGGUCGCUAACCCGCGAGGGGGAGCCAAUCCCAAAAAGCCGCUCUCAGUUCGGAUUGGAGUCUGCAACUCGACUCCAUGAAGUUGGAAUCGCUAGUAAUCGCGGAUCAGCACGCCGCGGUGAAUACGUUCCCGGGCCUU